UAUAAAAACAUUAAGGUUAUGUUACGCGUUUAAGGUGUGUAAAUUAAUAAUAGGUUAGGUACCUUAAUUAUUGUUUAAUUGGGUAAUUUCAAGGUAAAAGUUUAUUGGGAGUACUACCCAUCCUAUCUUUUUAUUAAACAACCUCAAGUGAAUAUGAUCCUAAUAAACUAUAACCAUACAGAAGACUUCAAAUUGUAACUACAGGUAACAUUUAGCAUGGUAUUGCGAAAGACAUUUAAAAAACUCUACCACAGGAAUACUACCCAACCUAUCUUUUUAUUAAACAACCUCAAGUGAAUAUGAUCCUAACUAAAAUAAUGAGUGUAAAGUGUAUGUUACACUACAAACUAUAACCAUACAGGAGACUUCAAAUUGUAACUACAGGUAACAUUCAGCAUGGUAUUGCGAAAGACAUUUAAAAAACUCUACCACAGGCAGCAAUAUAAACUAUAAUUACACACUGCAAACCAUAGCUAUUAAUUACAGGUUAUAAGUCAGCUGUAGCUUGCGUACCCCAAACUAUACAAAAUAUGAAAAUUACAGACUUCAUUUCGCAAACUAUAGCUGCAAACUGUAUGUGAUAGUUAAAUAAUUGCAUAGGGUAAAACGCCAGUAAUUGACCGUUGGUCAGUGUUUGACCGUUUUUGUAAAAAAAAUGUAAAAAAUAAGGAUCCAAAGAAUAUCUAUAAAAAAAAUAAAUCUGUCCAUAAAUAGCCACCAGUCUCUUCUCCACCUCCUACUACGCAAAAAGUCUACGACCAUACCGUUCUUGAGUUCUUGUUGUUUAAUUUGCGCUAACUGCGCUAUUCACAUCGUGCUAAAAAGACUCUUAUAGUGGUCAAUUAUUAUCAAAAAAUG
rnacentral:lncRNA from 1 species